rnacentral:rRNA from 1 species
CCUACGGGUGGCAGCAGUGGGGAAUAUUGCACAAUGGGCGAAAGCCUGACGCAGCGACGCCGCGUGAGGGAUGAAGGUCUUCGGAUCGUAAACCUCUGUCAGCAGGGAAGAACGGUCACUGUGCUAAUCAGCAGUGAAUUGACGGUACCUGCAAAGGAAGCACCGGCUAACUCCGUGCCAGCAGCCGCGGUAAUACGUAGGGUGCGUGCUUUAAUCGGAAUUACUGGGCGUAAAGCGCUCGUAGGCGGGAUUGCAAGUCACGGGUGAAACCCCAGCGCGCAACGUGGGAACUGCCUUUGAAACUGGCAAACUGGAGUGUGUGAGAGGAAAGUGGAAGUCCAGGUGUAGGAGUGAAAUGCGUAGAUAUCUGGAGGAACAUCAGUGGCGAAGGCGACUAUCUGGCACAUAACUGACGCUGAGGAGCGAAAGCGUGGGUAGCAAACAGGAUUAGAUACCCUUGUAGUC